AGAACACAAUAUUUAAAGUGGUUCGACCUGUAUUACCACAGGCCUACAUCCACUGUGUAGAGAGAACAAAAUCCACUAGAUCAAGAAGGUUACAGAUUACAAGAUAGUGAUUACACUCAAGCUCUCAACAACUAUUUCACCUAAGCUGUAUUAACACUUCCCUGUGUAUACCUCACUGUUUCUCUCUUGUUUCCCAACCCCAAAUCUCACAAACCCUGUGAAGAUUUCCUUCUUGCUUUCCCUCUAGCUUCUUCUUUUGUUCUUGAGAGUUUCCUCUCUUUCCAGCCCCUCAAGCCUUAUCCCCUUGAUUUGGCCUUAGCCUCCAAGCCUCUCCACCAAGUGCUUUAUAUAUGCAGCAAACCCUAGCAAAAAGCAACUUGGUCCCCAAGUAAAUCACUGUGAGCUCGACAGGUGUCUACCACUGUCAGAGUGGUCCACACGGGUUCUGUCUUCUAGUGUAACAACUCCUUACACUUUCCAGCUCAUCCUUUGACUUUACUUUAACUGAUGCACCAGAUAAAGUAUCUACUUGGCAUGUACACGUGGAUAUGAGUCAUAGAAUAACAAUUCUCCACCUUGACUCAUACUCCACGUAGGCUUCUCUUCCGUCUCUCUCCUCUCUGCACCCUAGCUUCUUACCAAGCUAGCUCCACCUAGCUUCUUACCAAGCUAGAACCACCUAGCUUCUCACCAAGCUAGCAUCUCCUAGCUUCUUACCAAGCUAGCACUGCCCCACCUAGCUUAUAACCAAGCUAGCACUGCCUACAGCAGCUCACCAAGUCCAUACAGUGAUUGAACUUUGAAACCGGUAAAGACUUUGUUAGCAUAUCCGCAGCAUUCUCCGUUGUAUGCACCUUCUCCACCUUCACAUCAACAUGUUUCGACACUUGAUGUUUUAUCAAGUGAAUUGUACUUUGGUUGUCACAGUACACAUUCACAUUCUCCUGCUCAAUCCUCAACUCCUGAACCAUCCCAAUCAUCCACACAGCUUCUUCGACUACCUCAGUCACCGCCAUGUAUUCAGCUUCUAUCAUAGACAAAGCUACCACCGAUUGGAGGUCUGACUUCCAACUCACUGUAGUCCCAAAGAGAGUGAACACAUAUCCUGUUAAGGAUUUCCUUGUGUCAACACUACUUGCAUAAUCUGAGUCCUCAAAACCCUUCGUCGCAUCACCUUCUAUUCCAUCAUUCCGCUUGAAUAGAAGUUCAAUCUCAACAGAUCCAUUCAUGUAUCUCAAAGUCCACUUGAGUGCUUCCCAGUGUGUCUGCCCUGGAUCAGCCAUAAACCUGCUGAUCACACCUGCAGUGUGUGACAUAUCCGGCCGACUGCACACAAUUCAAUACAUCAAGCUCCCAACUACAUUAGCAUAAUGCACCUUUGACAUGUACCUCUGCUCUUCAUCAGUUGCAGGUGCUUGGGACUUUGAGAGUCUGAAAUGCUGCCCCAUAGGAGUAGACACUGCCUUGGACUGAUGCAUGUUGUAUCUCAACACGAGUUUCUCAACAUAAGAUUGUUGGGACAGGAACAAGUGACCACACCGUCUGUUCCUCACUAUCUGCAUUCCCAAGAUCAUCUUGGCAGACCCCAAAUCUUCCAUGUCAAACUCAGAUUUCAGCUUCUCCUUGAUAUUCAUAUAUCUCCUCCUUGGACUUGCUUGCAAUGAGCAUGUCAUCCUCAUACAACAACAAGUCAGCUCUAACCUUUCCUUCUAUUUUCCUCACAUACACACCAUGUGAGACAGCUGUUGUAACAUUCACCUGUUCCAACACAAGGUUAUACCGAGCUACUAGUGCCAACAUGAUUCUGAUUGAGCAAUGUUUAACCACCGGUGAAAAGAUUUCAUUUAAAUCUAUCCUUUUCACCUGUGAGAAUUCCUUAGCAACCGAUCUAGCCUUGUACAUAGGCUUCUCCCCGGGGAUUCUCUCCUUCUUGAAGAGCCACCGACAACUCACCGGCUUCUUCCCACUUGGUCUCUUUACCAAGACACAAGUCCCAUUAUUCUUCAUUGAAGCUAUCUCUUUCCCCGUAGCUUCAAUCCAAUUCCGCCUUUCCUUCCCAUUUGCUUCCUGGUAAGUGGCUAGCUCACCUUUUAUCUCAAAAACAACAUUGAGUGCAAAGGAAAUGAUAUCAGCUUGUCCAAACCUUAUAGGUGGUUUAAUUAUCCUUUUGGUUCUACCUCUGGUCAAAUGGUAAUCCCUCAGAUCAUCCUCUGAUUCAGAACUCUCACUGUGAUCAGAUUCUUCCUGAGCAUCUGUGGUCAGAUCUUGCUCAAUUGUGGUCUCUUGCGGAAACUCCACCUCAAUCUGAGUACCAUCACUUGAAGUUCCUUGAGUAGACUGAUAUCCAAUCAUCUUUGCCAUCUUUGAUUCAUCAAAGAUUACAUCCCUACUCACAACACACUUCCCUUGACCAGGUCCCCGACACCAUAACUUAAACCCCUUAACCCCGGUUGGAUAACCAAUAAAGACACAUUUGAGGGCUCUUGGUUCUAGUUUAUCACCUUUAUGGGCAUAGGCUAAGCUACCAAAGACCUUCAAAUCAAUGAAAUUAGCAGGCUUAUCAUACCAUUUCUCAUUUGGAGUUUUGAAUUCACUUGUUGUGGUGGGACUUCUGUUGUUGAGACAUCCUGCUGUUGCCACAACAUCUCCCCAGAACUUCUUACCAAUAACCGCCUGACCUGACAUAUGGUAAAUCCCAUUGUUUCUGAAUGCCUUCAUAACAACCACAGACCCCUUAGACACCUCCAGAAUGCCAUUGUUUCCACUGAACGUGUGGCCACUCUUGUCUAAGACUCCAAGAGAUAUCAGGUUCCUCUUGACCUGAGGAACAAAUCUCACUUCCGGUAGGAUCCUCUCAAUUCCAUCAAACAUCUUGAUUCUUACCGAACCAACCCCUUUCGUACAUUGCAAACAUCAUUAUUCCCCAAUAAGACUGUACCCCUCUCAUUCAACUCGAGAGUUUCAAACCAGUCCUUAUUUGAUGUCAUGUGAAAAGAACACCCUGAAUCCAAUAUCCAAUCCCCUGUUACAUCACCUCCUGUGAUAACAAGGAAAUCAUAGGAUUCAAAUUCCUCAGCUAUAAUACCAGCUUCACCAUUGUGUCUUUGAUCCUGUGCUUUCUUCUCCGGGCAAUCCUUCUUGAAGUGACUAGGAUUAUUGCACCUAUAACACUCCCAUUGACCCCUCUCUGCCGGAGUCCUCUUGCCCUGCGCCAACUUAGAUCUGUUCUUCGGUUUCUUGUCCCUAAAGUCUCUCUUCUCAGAUCUGCCACUGACAAUGAGUCCCUCUCCAGAUUCAUGAGCUUUCCCUUCAAGUUUCUUCUGCAAUUCUUUAGCCUUGAUUGCAGAUUGCACCUCUUCCAGUGAUAUGGUUUGUUCCCUCCCAUACACAAGUGCAUCCUUGAAAUGCUCAUAAGACUUUGGAAUAGCAUUGAGUAGCAUUAGAGCUUUAUCCUCAUCCUCAAGCUUCACCUCAAUAUUCUCAAGGUCAUCCAGAAUCUUGUUGAACUCAUCUAUCUGUUCCGACAGAGGCUUGUCAUCACUCAUCUUGAAGGAAUACAGUCUCUGUUUCAAGUAGAGUCUGUUUGUGAGAGAUUUGGUCAUAUACAGUUGUUCCAACUUCAACCAAACGCCUUGUGCAGUGGUCCCUCUAGCUUCUUCCCUCAGAGCCUUAUCACCAAGGCUCAAGAUGAUCAAGCUGUGAGCUCUACCUAUCAAGUCAUUCUUCUCCUUUUCUGACAAGGAAUCCGAAAGCUCUUUGGCACCCUUCAAAGCAUCUAUCAACCCCUGCUGCACCAACAUGGCUCUCAUCUUCACCCUCCAAAGACCAAAGUUCUUAGAUCCAGAGAACUUCUCCACCUCAAACUUGGUAGAUCCCAUACUGUGUGCUCAGAUCUUCCCACAGACGGCGCCAAUUGUUGUGGAUUCCGGCCCACAAGCAAUAACAAGUCACACAAAUAUGAAAAUCAAUCCAAGAAAGAACACACAAAUACCACUGUGUUGACUCAACCGACUGUAAAACACCGUUGCAGAUAACACAACUACAGUACCACAUAUCUAAAACUGAAAGCUAUAGAAUAGUAAAGAACACAAUAUUUAAAGUGGUUCGACCUGUAUUACCACAGGCCUACAUCCACUGUGCAGAGAGAACAAAAUCCACUAGAUCAAGAAGGUUACAGAUUACAAGAUAGUGAUUACACUCAAGCUCUCAACAGCUAUUUCACCUAAGCUGUAUUGACACUCCCCUGUGUAUACCUCACUAUUUCUCUCUUGUUUCCCAACCCCAAAUCUCACAAACCCUGUGAAGAUUUCCUUCUUGCUUUCCC
rnacentral:lncRNA from 1 species